GACGAACGCUGGCGGCGUGCUUAACACAUGCAAGUCGAACGGAAAGGCCUGCUUUCCCUUGUGGAUUGCGGGUACUCGAGUGGCGAACGGGUGAGUAACACGUGAGUGAUCUGCCCCCAACUUGGGUAUAAGCCUGGGAAACUGGGUCUAAUUCCCGAUAGGACUGCAGGGUGGUGCCUGUGGUGGAAAACGAUUUUCUAGUGGUUGGGGAUGAGCUCGCGGCCUGUCAGCUUGUUGGUGGGGUAAUGGCCUACCAAGGCGGCGACGGGUAGCCGGCCUGGGAGGGUGGACGGCCACAUUGGGACUGAGAUACGGCCCAGACUCCUACGGGAGGCAGCAGUGGGGAAUAUUGCACAAUGGGCGGAAGCCUGAUGCAGCGACGCCGCGUGGGGGAUGACGGCCUUCGGGUUGUAAACUCCUUUCGACCGCGAGGAAGCCACCUGGUUGGAAGGGUGGUGACGGUAGUGGUAGAAGAAGCACCGGCUAACUACGUG
rnacentral:rRNA from 1 species